GCCCCCAGCUAGUUCUCUGCAAUAUUCACAUGGUCACCCACUGAAGCUAAGCAGGGCUGUGCCCGGUCAGUACCUGGAUGGGAGACCACAUGGGAAAGCUAGGUUGCUGCCAGAA
rfam:Danio rerio chromosome 6, GRCz11 reference primary assembly.